CGCGUAGGCGGCCUUGCGUGUCUUUCGUGAAAUCCCUCGGCUUAACUGAGGACGUGCGGAAGAAACUGCAGGGCUUGAGUCCGGGAGAGGGGGGUGGAAUUCCCAGUGUAGCGGUGAAAUGCGUAGAUAUUGGGAGGAACACCGGUGGCGAAGGCGGCCCCCUGGACCGGUACUGACGCUGAGGCGCGAAAGCGUGGGGAGCAAACG
rnacentral:rRNA from 1 species